UACAUAGGUCUCAAGCGUUGUUCGGAUUCAUUGGGCGUAAAGGGUGCGUAGGCGGCGCGGUAAGUCGGGUGUGAAAUCUCGGAGCUUAACUCCGAAACUGCAUUCGAUACUGCCGUGCUUGAGGACUGGAGAGGAGACUGGAAUUUACGGUGUAGCGGUGAAAUGCGUAGAUAUCGGGAGGAACAUCAGUGGCGAAGGCGGCUACCUGGCCCAAUACUGACACUCAGGUGCGACAGCGUGGGGAGCAAACAGG
rnacentral:rRNA from 1 species